UGGGGAAUAUUGCACAAUGGGCGCAAGCCUGAUGCAGCCAUGCCGCGUGUAUGAAGAAGGCCUUCGGGUUGUAAAGUACUUUCAGCGGGGAGGAAGGCGUUGUGGUUAAUAACCACAGCGAUUGACGUUACCCGCAGAAGAAGCACCGGCUAACUCCGUGCCAGCAGCCGCGGUAAUACGGAGGGUGCAAGCGUUAAUCGGAAUUACUGGGCGUAAAGCGCACGCAGGCGGUCUGUUAAGUCAGAUGUGAAAUCCCCGGGCUCAACCUGGGAACUGCAUUUGAAACUGGCAGGCUUGAGUGUCGUAGAGGGGGGUAGAAUUCCAGGUGUAGCGGUGAAAUGCGUAGAGAUCUGGAGGAAUACCGGUGGCGAAGGCGGCCCCCUGGACGAAGACUGACGCUCAGGUGCGAAAGCGUGGGGAGCAAACA
rnacentral:rRNA from 1 species